GACGAACGCUGGCGGCGUGCUUAACACAUGCAAGUCGAACGGAAAGGCCCUGCUUUUGUGGGGUGCUCGAGUGGCGAACGGGUGAGUAACACGUGAGUAACCUGCCCUUGACUUUGGGAUAACUUCAGGAAACUGGGGCUAAUACCGGAUAGGAGCUCCUGCUGCAUGGUGGGGGUUGGAAAGUUUCGGCGGUUGGAGAUGGACUCGCGGCUUAUCAGCUUGUUGGUGGGGUAGUGGCUUACCAAGGCUUUGACGGGUAGCCGGCCUGAGAGGGUGACCGGCCACAUUGGGACGGAGAUACGGCCCAGACUCCUACGGGAGGCAGCAGUGGGGAAUAUUGCACAAUGGGCGGAAGCCUGAUGCAGCAACGCCGCGUGCGGGAUGACGGCCUUCGGGUUGUAAACCGCUUUCGCCUGUGACGAAGCGUGAGUGACGGUAAUGGGUAAAGAAGCACCGGCUAACUACGUG
rnacentral:rRNA from 1 species